ACGGGAGGCAGCAGUGGGGAAUAUUGGACAAUGGGGGAAACCCUGAUCCAGCGACGCCGCGUGAGUGAAGAAGUAUUUCGGUAUGUAAAGCUCUAUCAGCAAGAAAGAAAAUGACGGUACUUGACUAAGAAGCCCCGGCUAACUACGUGCCAGCAGCCGCGGUAAUACGUAGGGGGCAAGCGUUAUCCGGAUUUACUGGGUGUAAAGGGAGUGUAGACGGCGAUGCAAGUCUGAAGUGAAAGCCCGGGGCUCAACCCCGGAACUGCUUUGGAAACUGUAUAGCUAGAGUGCAGGAGAGGUAUGUGGAAUUCCUAGUGUAGCGGUGAAAUGCGUAGAUAUUAGGAGGAACACCAGUGGCGAAGGCGACAUACUGGACUGUAACUGACGUUGAGGCUCGAAGGCGUGGGGAGCAAACAGGAUUAGAUACCCUGGUA
rnacentral:rRNA from 1 species